AAACGAUAGCCGGUUAGUCACCGCACAAUCCUUAAACCGAAAGUAAACCUAGGUCUUGCCCUAAACCCAGCGCACUGGUCUCUAACAUCUCAAAGGCAUGAUAUCGAAAGAUAAGAGAUUCUUAAACCACGCCUCUAUGUUUACGUUCGAUACCUUCAGCACCCCCGCAGAGUUCACAUCUCGCGGAAGAACUCUCGAAACAGGUCUCGAAUAAAACAUUUCACAAUCGAAGAAGGAUAUGAGACGACAACUCAUCACCUUCCUCCCCACUAUUCACAAAUUCAUAAAAAGCGUUAUCCGAUUAUCAUAUUAUAAAGCCGCGGAGCGGCAGGGAUUCAAAGCCACACACGGCCAGUCCCGAAAUACAAACAAGGCCAUUCAAGGCCGAAACAUAAAGACAUAAAAAAAAAAACAAAUCUCUCGCAAGAGAUUUAACCCAAGUC
rnacentral:lncRNA from 1 species